GAGAGUUAAUGGGCUUCAGCCUAGAAACCUAUUGACAAACUUUAAUGGAUUUGGACUUUAGGCCCAUCAUCAUAUUACCCUAAUGCCUAAUGGAUCAUGAGCAAAACCUCUCUGCCACCCUUACAUGGAGCCCACCAACUCUCAACAAAGAAUUCACACAGUAGAGGUCCAAGGGGAUGGAGACGAAUUGUGAUCAUGGUGGGCUGGAUGGACAUUUUGGGCCUUUGGACUCUUCCAGUGUUUGCCUACAUUUAUACAAAGUCCAAAACCACAGUCGGUCCAUAGCAGACUCUUUUUGUAAUUGAGCCCAAGUCCAAGCCCAAGCCCAAGGAUGCUGCUGAGUGCGCUCUCUAUGCCGCAAAUGUUGUGGUUAUGGUUGAUGUAUAUAUGUGGGGUAACGGGUUGUCAAGAAGCUGUGAGAGUUUUGGUUUUUGGUACAUAAGCUAUGAAAGUUGAAAGCAAAGAAAAAUGUUUUCCCUCUUGCAAACAAAUGCUGGAAAAUGUUAUUGUAA